UGAGUAACCUGCCCUUCACUCUGGGAUAACUCCGGGGAAACCGGGGCUAAUACUGGAUAUGACUCGAACAGGCAUCUGUUUCGGGUGGAAAGAUUUAUUGGUGGAGGAUGGACUCGCGGCCUAUCAGCUUGUUGGUGAGGCAAUGGCUCACCAAGGCGACGACGGGUAGCCGGCCUGAGAGGGCGAUCGGCCACACUGGGACUGAGAUACGGUCCAGACUCCGUACGGGAGNAGCG
rnacentral:rRNA from 1 species